rnacentral:lncRNA from 10 species
CCUUCAUCUUGGUCCUCCAGCUUCCAGAAUGAAAGGUGUCAAGAGUAGCACGGGAAUAUCUCUCUGACCAUCUAGGGGUCUGUUGCUGACUCGGUGCCUCCUUGUCCUGCGUACUCCCAGGUCAGGACAUCGGCUUGACUGGUGGCCACCUGCUGACCUCAGAGCCCUCGGAGCGAAUCCAGCUGUCCAAUUGAAACCAAGCAUGGUCCUCUGCGGCUUGGCCUCUUUUUCUCCCGAGAUGGUUGCGGGGCACUUAUUGGGUGAAGACCCUCAUUCAUUCUGGGGUGUGUCAGGAGUUUCUUCGAGACAGGACCAAGCUAUGAGCCUGUGGCAGGAGCAUCCGAGGCACAGCUCAGCCUCUCCCGUGCUGCACACCCCUGUGUGCAGGUGCCCUUGCCCGCAGCCGCGGCUCCAGGUCCGCGUGGAGUCAGCUGCUGCUGUCAAGCAUUUUCACAGUACAGUUACUGGUCUACUCCAGCACAGUCACGAGGCACCUUGAGAGGCUGCAAAAGACCCCUAAAGUCUUCCGCAUCUUUAUCAUUCCUCAAGGGAUGGGUUCCAGGACCCCCGAGUUUAACCCACCUGCAGGAGCUCAAGUUCCUGAUGUAAAAUGAUGUCGGAUUUGCAAGUAACCUGCACACAUCCUCCCGGUACUUUAAAUCAUCCCUGGAUUAUUCAUUGUACCGAAUACAAUGGAAAUGCUAUGUAAAUAGUUGUUACACUGUGUUGUUAUUUUUAUUUGUAUUUUUUCUAUAUUGUUAUUUUUUAU